GCCGCUCUCCCUAUUGUGUGAACCCUAGCUAACAGCUCCUCCCUGCCACCGCCACCUCCAUCGCCCGAUCUUGGCGACCUCAAGUGGGAAUCGACGGUGCCCAGCACACCAACAGGACCCCCACGCUCCGCUCCUCCCUCCUGUCCGGCGAGAUCCGGCGAGAGCUUCGUUCGCCGCCUUCCUCUCUCAUCCUCUCUCUGAUCCAGAUCUAGUCCCUCCGCCGCCGCCCCCUUCUCCCCCUCAUUCACCAUCGCAACACGCCUACACCUCUCGUUGUACCUGCAUGCACGCGCCCACACGCCUCCCUGCCCACACGCCUCGAUUCCAUCGACCCAACGCCCAGGCCCAGCAUGCGCCGCCGCGGGGAUGGAUCUGGGGAAGAUCGUGAGCGUGUUCAACCAAGUCGGCCAUGGAGGCGGGGGCUCUCUCCGCCAGCGACGUGCCAGAACACGGUCCUCGCCAACCCGCUCAGCCCCGACGAGGCGAUGCGGCACCCCAUGGAGUCGGCCCUCGCGCAGUGCAAGCCCCGCCCCGGGUUCUGCUCCUGCCUCUGGAGAUCAUCUCUAUGAGGGGCUUGUCCUUAGUGAGGACGUGAGCCUACUCGCCAUGGUUUAUUUUAAGAACAUCAUCAACCGCUAGUGGCGCACUCGCCGGGAUUCCUAAGUAAUGCACUUAAGGAGUUGCAUCAAAGGCAUCGUUGGUGCCUAGUGUCCUCGUCAAGUUCCUUCAGCAUAUGAACACAGAUGUCAAAGUCGCAGGAGAGCAUCAGUCGUCCCUUCUUUAGGUUGUCGGCAUUGUGCUAGCACUUUCAGGGAGAGGUCUUUUUGUCCGUUCAGGAGGAACAACAUGAUUGAAGGAAAUAUGCCCUAGACGCAAUAAUAAAGUUACUAUUUAUUUCCUUA